GGAGGAGGGAGAGAAGCAAAACUGGAGGCCGGGAGAUGAGGGGGGACUUCUGCCCAUAGAGCUGAGCUAGAGUGGUGCCGCUUAUAGAGCUGAGCUGGCUAGAGAGGUCCCAGAGGCCUCAUGGUGCCACUAGAAAGAACAGAGGCACUGGGGGAAAGAGAGUGUGGGGUGUAGCUUCAAAUCUGCUAGUGGUGGCCCAAGGCUGUGUGCACCUGAGGCAGGGUACCAAAUGCCACCCCCUCUUUUGUGUACCCUCCUCUGUUUCUUCCCCAUAUUUUUUAAGGAGGGAGCAGAAGAGCAUCUUACCAGCUUGCUGGUGCCCCAGUAAUCUACUGCAUGAAGCAACUGCCUCAUCUCACUUCACCUCAGGGACAAUUCAGCUACCUCUUGAAGAAUCCAUGGGAAGUUCAAAAAACAACAGUACAGAAAAAACGUAUGGGCGUCCAUGGGCUCAUCUAUAAAUAUACCCAUCAGAGAGAAUAGGAUUUAAAACUCUCACGGAACACUCCUUCUGGAUUCUAUUAAUCAUUAGACAACUUUGUAUACAAAAUGAUUUCCAACAGGAAUAUUCAAUGGAGAAGAGAAUAAUACCUGAAAAUACGAAUUCUGACAUGACAAAAGUCGUAUGCAUGUUGUAAAUACAAGACCACACGUCCACCAACGUACAAAUAUCCCAUCUCACUACAGACUGGUAUUCAAAAAACCAUAGUAAAAUAAUUAACGAAGAUCAGCCAAACCUUCCUCCUGAUUUUCACUGUGCAAUUUAAACCCUUUCAUUCUAGAAAAUCUUUGGGGGGUUAUAUUUUCGGUUCAUUUUAUGUCUGCUGUCUUAUUUUUAAUUUAUAUUUGUAAUUGUGGUAUAGUUUAUAUUAUCAUCUUAUUAUUUUGG